GACUGCACCCCAUGCUGAUGUUAACUAGGAAUUCAUUACCAGGAACACAGGCUGAAGAAAGGCACCUUGUACUUGCAAUGGAAGGCACUGAAACCUGUGAUGGUCCUGCAUCCGAUAGGAUUUCAUACUACAGUUGGGCCCAGUCCCCAGGAAAGAUCUGAUUCCGAAGCAGACCACAGAACAUAAAUCAAGCCAAAAAAACAAAAGAAAUCAAACAAACAGCCACAACCAUCAACCUCAUCUGUCUGGAUGUCUUGAAAGCAGUCUUUUCUCAAGUUUUCUAGUGCUUAAUGAUUUUAGUCAAGGUUGAGAAAUGCUCAAACCUGUAUGUUCUUUUUUUCUUUACAAAUUGGUUUGCUUUCCCCUUUAUUUUUACAUGUACAUUCCAGAUCUUAAAAGUAACUGUGAAAGCCAAGCAACUCUAAUUAUUAACCUAGUUAAUUAACAGGCUUCUUUUGCUUACUAAAAUAAGGAUUACAGGGAGAGAGACAAACAAGGGAAAUGAAAAUCGCAGGAGUUAUACUAGACACAGAUUAUCUUGCGCUACACAACAACACUGAACUAUGGCGGGCUUCUUAUUUCCUUUCUGAUAACUAGGGUUUUGGAAAGGUGCCCAUUGUGUGCUCAAAAACUCUGUAGUAACAGUGAAAUCUGCAGACAUAAAUAAUAGCUGUUUUACAGUACAAUCCUCACUCAGUACUC